CCGCAGUUAAGCGUGCUUGGGCGAGAGUAGUACUAGGAUGGGUGACCUCCUGGGAAGUCCUCGUGUUGCACCCCUGGG
rnacentral:rRNA from 3 species